GUUUCUAGGGUGUACUGUUAGCACAUUAGAUUUUCAUUCUAAAGGAAUAAAGUAAAUUUAUUAGAAAUG
rnacentral:tRNA from 1 species